rnacentral:rRNA from 1 species
GUCCACGCAGUAAACGAUGAAUACUAACUGUAUGCGAUAUACUGUAUGCGGUACAGCGAAAGCGUUAAGUAUUCCACCUGGGGAGUACGUUCGCAAGAAUGAAACUCAAAGGAAUUGACGGGGGGCCCGCACAAGCGGAGGAACAUGUGGUUUAAUUCGAUGAUACGCGAGGAACCUUACCCGGGCUUGAAAUGCAGAAGACCGAUCGGGAAACCGAUUUUCCAGCAAUGGCUUCUGUGUAGGUGCUGCAUGGUUGUCGU